rnacentral:rRNA from 1 species
UGGGGGAUAUUGCACAAUGGGCGGAAGCCUGAUGCAGCAACGCCGCGUGAAGGAAGACGGUUUUCGGAUUGUAAACUUCUGUUCUUAGUGAAGAAGAAAAUGACGGUAGCUAAGGAGCAAGCCACGGCUAACUACGUGCCAGCAGCCGCGGUAAUACAGAGACUGCAAGCGUUACUCGGAUUCACUGGGCGUAAAGGGAGCGCAGGCGGAAUCGUGUGUCGGAUGUGAAACCCGGGGGCUCAACUCCCGGACUGCGCCUGAAACUGCGAUUCUAGGGACUCGGAGGGGCCAGUGGAAUUCUUGGUGGAGCAGUGAAAUGCGUAGAUAUCAAGAGGAACACCAACGGCGAAGGCAGCUGGCUGGACGGGAUCCGACGCUCAGGCUCGAAAGUAUGGGGAGCAAAAA